rnacentral:lncRNA from 1 species
AAGGCCCGCGGUGCAGCUUCUGCUGCUGCUGCUUCUGGACGGUCCUCCUCGUGCUCGGGCUCUGCCUCCUGGCCGCCAUCGCCGGCGCCGCCGUCUACGUGCUCUACCGCCCGCACCGCCCCGAGUUCUCCGUCUCCUCCCUCCGGACCGCCACCCUCAACCUCACCGCCGCCCCCGACGGCUCCUCCACCCGCCUCAUCACCCUCUUCAACCUCACCCUCACCUCCAAGAACCCGAACAGCCACUUCACCUUCGCCUACGACUCCUUCGACGUCGCGCUCACGUCGUCCGCGUCCAACCCCGUGUUCCUCGGCAACGGGUCGCUCCCGGCGUUCACGAGCAACGAGAUGGCCGUGACCCC